UGGGGAAUUUUGGACAAUGGGCGAAAGCCUGAUCCAGCAAUGCCGCGUGUGUGAAGAAGGCCUUCGGGUUGUAAAGCACUUUUGUCCGGAAAGAAAUCCUUGGCUCUAAUACAGUCGGGGGAUGACGGUACCGGAAGAAUAAGCACCGGCUAACUACGUGCCAGCAGCCGCGGUAAUACGUAGGGUGCAAGCGUUAAUCGGAAUUACUGGGCGUAAAGCGUGCGCAGGCGGUUUGCUAAGACCGAUGUGAAAUCCCCGGGCUCAACCUGGGAACUGCAUUGGUGACUGGCAGGCUAGAGUAUGGCAGAGGGGGGUAGAAUUCCACGUGUAGCAGUGAAAUGCGUAGAGAUGUGGAGGAAUACCGAUGGCGAAGGCAGCCCCCUGGGCCAAUACUGACGCUCAUGCACGAAAGCGUGGGGAGCAAACAGGAUUAGAUACCCUGGUAGUCCACGCCCUAAAACGAUGUCAACUAGUUGUUGGGGGAUUCAUUUCCUUAGUAACGUAGCUAACGCGUGAAGUUGACCGCCUGGGGGAGUACGGUCGCAAGAUU
rnacentral:rRNA from 1 species